rnacentral:rRNA from 1 species
AUUGAACGCUGGCGGCAGGCUUAACACAUGCAAGUCGAGCGGGGAAAGGUAGCUUGCUACCUGACCUAGCGGCGGACGGGUGAGUAAUGCUUAGGAAUCUGCCUAUUAGUGGGGGACAACAUUCCGAAAGGAAUGCUAAUACCGCAUACGCCCUACGGGGAAAGCAGGGGAUCUUCGGACCUUGCGCUAAUAGAUGAGCCUAAGUCAGAUUAGCUAGUUGGUGGGGUAAAGGCCUACCAAGGCGACGAUCUGUAGCGGGUCUGAGAGGAUGAUCCGCCACACUGGGACUGAGACACGGCCCAGACUCCUACGGGAGGCAGCAGUGGGGAAUAUUGGACAAUGGGCGAAAGCCUGAUCCAGCCAUGCCGCGUGUGUGAAGAAGGCCUUUUGGUGUAAAGCACUUUAAGCGAGGAGGAGGCUACUUAGAUUAAUACUCUAGGAUAGUGGACGUUACUCGCAGAAUAAGCACCGGCUAACUCUGUGCCAG